rnacentral:rRNA from 1 species
UACGUAGGGGGCGAGCGUUGUCCGGAUUUAUUGGGCGUAAAGAGCUCGUAGGCGGUUGGGUAAGUCGGGUGUGAAAACUCAGGGCUCAACUCUGAGACGCCACUCGAUACUGCUCUGACUCGAGUCCGGUAGGGGAGCGUGGAAUUCCCGGUGUAGCGGUGAAAUGCGCAGAUAUCAGGAGGAACACCGAUGGCGAAGGCAGGUCUCUGGGCCGAUACUGACGCUGAGGAGCGAAAGCGUGGGGAGCGAACAGG